rfam:Penicillium arizonense strain CBS 141311 PENARI_contig007, whole genome shotgun sequence.
GGAGCGGUAGUUCAGUGGUUUAGAACGUUCGAUUGCAAAUCGAAAGGUCGGGAGUUCGAGUCUCCCCCGCACCU